GGAGUCGGCCAGACAGUCGCGUCAUUCGCAAGAAUGCCGAGGAAAGUCCGGGCUCCACAGGGCACGGUGCCAGGUAACGCCUGGGCGGCGCGAGCCGACGGAAAGUGCAACAGAGAGAGACCGCCGAUGGCCCUGCCGUUCUGGAACACGUGUCGGACCUGGUCCGACACGGUGCUUCCAGACCGCCGAAAGGCGGAGGCAGGGCACAGGCAAGGGUGAAACGGUGCGGUAAGAGCGCACCGCGAGUCCGGCAACGGACCGGCACGGCAAACCCCACCGGGAGCAAGACCAAAUAGGGAGGCUAUGCCGCGGCCCGCGGUGCCUCCGGGUAGGUUGCUUGAGCGCAGGCGGUGACGCCUCGCCUAGAGGAAUGACUGUCCACGACAGAACCCGGCUUAUCGGCCGGCUCCGCCA
rnacentral:RNase_P_RNA from 1 species